UCGAGCCUCCAGUAAUGGCGGACGGUUGAACACAGAAGCGCGCGCUAUGAUGAUCGACUUACGACCGUACAGGAAACAGCUGCCUGCCUUGGCCUUGUGGUGUUUUUGCGGAACCUGCUUUUAUUCAUUUGUAGCGUAUCAAAUGUAUGGCGAAAGAGGACGAAAUAAUAGGACAAAGCUUCGUGUUAUGCUUGGGCUGGAAUCUCCUGAAGCUACUGGAGAAGAUAAGGAGUGGGAGACGCUUAUAAAUGAAACAACUUAUAACAAGAACGAUGACAAGGAUCUCAAGUUCAGAUGACAACCUGCUGCUAUUUCCUCAGAGACCUUCAUAAGGAUAUAGGCCAGCAACUGUAUGGGCAGUUUUAUGUGACAGUUACAUUGUGUAUAUGAAAGGUCUUGUGGUCAACAUUAAUAUUUGUGUCGCUGUAUUUUGGUUAAUUUGAAUAGAGACACAUUUUUGAAGGUAAUUAUCAGGCACAUCGCUGUGAGUUGUUGAUUAAAAAGUAUGGCUGAAAAGAAGUGAAAGGUUGAUGUACAAGAUCCUUUAGAAAAGCAGUUUUAUGGAAGCUCAGUGGACAAUGUUGAAUACAGGGUCUUCAUUAAAGAAAUGUAGUUGCAGCAGAAUAGUAUAAAGUAACAGGAGAUUGCACUUUACUUACGGAUGAAAAAUGUGUUUGUGUUUAUCAGAACAGGGGUGCAUGCUAAAAAAUAGGGGCCUGUUCGUUACAGAAUGCAAAAAAAGUUUUAUCAGUGGUAUCCGUCUUUCUCUCUUUUGAUCUUCUAGGCUUGGAGGGAAGGUAACCACAAAUUGAAAAAGAAGGGGCUUGGUUUCCUCUCUUGUCCUGGUUUUAUCCCAAUCUCUUCUUGCUUAAAGUUUGCUCAUACUGAGAGAACCACAGAACACUAACAUUGUACAAUUCAAGGAACGUGGUGGGGUUGUUCCUUUUAAAUCUCAUAGGGGAUUAACGAGUAACUUCCCCCUAUAGUGUCCUUACAUUAACUAGCCAACAGGUUAUGAGAAUAUUCAAAACUUAUCAGAUAGAAGCUGUUAUCUUGAUCCAACACUAAAUUCUUGUAACAAAUUUGUAAGGAAAUGUAUUGUAGCUAGAGGGGAGAAUUAACAAUCAGAUCUUGGGAGUUAAACAGUGAGAAUGGCUGAAAAAAACUCCUAAUGUGUGCAACACCAGAUAGGUUUGUUGAACAAUUUAUUUGAGAACAAAACCCACUGAAUUCUACCAUUUCUCUAUAAUUUGUGGAUUAAUAAAUUAUAACUUAAAAGUUUUUGUAACAAAGUAA